rnacentral:rRNA from 1 species
UACUUUAGUCUAGUCAGAGGAACCUGUUUCAUAAAUGAUACAGCACGUAAUAUCUUACUAGGUUUUGUUUAACAGCUUGUAUACCGCCAUUAUUAGAUAACUUUUAUAGAAGAAGUUGUUAAAAGUAAGUAUUUAAAUAUAUUAGGUCAAGGUGCAGCUAAUAGGGUAGGGAGAAUGGGUUACAAUAAUAUUUAUUUAAACGGAGUAAAUGAAAGAAUUUUUAUUAUGAAGGAGGAUUUGAUUGUAAUGAUAAAUUAAUACGGUUUCAUGAUAUAAGUCCUAAAUUAU